GAAUACGUGGCGCAAUGGCAGCGCGUCUGACUCCAAAUCAGAAGUUUGCCUGUUCGAAUCACGUCGGGGUCA
rnacentral:tRNA from 1 species